UACGGAGGGUGCAAGCGUUAAUCGGAAUAACUGGGCGUAAAGGGCACGCAGGCGGUCUUUUAAGUCAGAUGUGAAAGCCCCGGGCUUAACCUGGGAAUAGCAUUUGAAACUGGGAGUCUAGAGUGCUGUAGAGGGGGGUAGAAUUCCAUGUGUAGCGGUGAAAUGCGUAGAGAUGUGGAGGAAUACCGGUGGCGAAGGCGGCCCCCUGGGCAUGUACUGACGCUCAUGUGCGAAAGCGUGGGGAGCAAACAGG
rnacentral:rRNA from 1 species